AGUGAACGCUGGCGGUAGGCCUAACACAUGCAAGUCGAACGGCAGCACAGUAAGAGCUUGCUCUUACGGGUGGCGAGUGGCGGACGGGUGAGGAAUACAUCGGAAUCUACUUUUUCGUGGGGGAUAACGUAGGGAAACUUACGCUAAUACCGCAUACGACCUACGGGUGAAAGCAGGGGAUCUUCGGACCUUGCGCGAUUGAAUGAGCCGAUGCCGGAUUAGCUAGUUGGCGGGGUAAAGGCCCACCAAGGCGACGAUCCGUAGCGGGUCUGAGAGGAUGAUCAGCCACACUGGAACUGAGACACGGUCCAGACUCCUACGGGAGGCAGCAGUGGGGAAUAUUGGACAAUGGGCGCAAGCCUGAUCCAGCCAUACCGCGUGGGUGAAGAAGGCCUUCGGGUUGUAAAGCCCUUUUGUUAGGAACGAAAAGCAGCAGAUUAAUACCCCGCUGUUCUGACGGUACCCAAAGAAUAAGCACCGGCUAACUUCGUG
rnacentral:rRNA from 1 species